GCCCAGCAAAUGACAGCUGCUGGCCCCAGACAGGGCCAGAGAGAGGAGUUUUACAAGGUGCCACCUCAGAAAGGCACCUGUCAGUCCAAGCCUGCAGUGGCCAGAGGGGUGGCAGGGCAAGGGCAGGACUCCUGGAUAUGUAACAGACCCUGGGUGGCUUGAUACCUACCCAAGAACAAAGUGACCUCUCGGAUCCUGGGUGCAGGUGACUACUCUGCCCACUGGCUUUAGAGGAGACAGUGUCUAGACUUGGGGUAACUCGUGGGAUAUGGGACGCUUCUGUGAAACAGUUAUGUGUCAACUGUCACAAUUGGUUUUUAGUGCGGGGCAGGACUACCUACCUCUUCUACUGCAAAUAAAAGGCCCUUCUCAUCCA
rnacentral:lncRNA from 1 species